rnacentral:rRNA from 1 species
UACGUAGGGGCCUAGCGUUGUCCGGAUUUAUUGGGCGUAAAGAGCUCGUAGGCGGUUUGGUGAGUCGGGUGUGAAAUCUCCACGCUCAACGUGGAGGGGCCACCCGAUACUGCCAUGACUAGAGUCCGGUAGGGGAGUGUGGAAUUCCCGGUGUAGCGGUGAAAUGCGCAGAUAUCGGGAGGAACACCAGUAGCGAAGGCGACUCGCUGGACAGGCUAUUGACGCUGAGGUUCGAAAGCGUGGGGAGCAAACAGG